GAUGAACGCUGGCGGCGUGCCUAAUACAUGCAAGUCGAGCGAACGGACGAGAAGCUUGCUUUUCUGAUGUUAGCGGCGGACGGGAGAGUAACACGUGGAUAACCUACCUAUAAGACUGGGAUACCUUCGGGAAACCGGAGCUAAUAACGGAUAAUAUUUUGAACCGCAUGGUUCAAAAGUUAAAGACGGUCUUGCUGUCACUUAUAGAUGGAUCCGCGGUGCAUUAGCUAGUUGGUAAGGUAACGGCUUACCAAGGCAACGAUGCAUAGCCGACCUGAGGGGGUGAUCGGCCACACGGGAACUGAGACACGGUCCAGACUCCUACGGGAGGCAGCAGUAGGGAAUCUUCCGCAAUGGGCGAAAGCCUGACGGAGCAACGCCGCGUGAGUGAUGAAGGUCUUCGGAUCGUAAAACUCUGUUAUUAGGGAAGAACAUAUGUGUAAGUAACUGUGCACAUCUUGACGGUACCUAAUCAGAAAGCCACGGCUAACUACGUG
rnacentral:rRNA from 1 species